UACGUAGGGUGCAAGCGUUGUCCGGAAUUAUUGGGCGUAAAGAGCUCGUAGGCGGUCUGUCGCGUCGAAUGUGAAAACCCGGGGCUCAACCCCGGGCCUGCAUUCGAUACGGGCAGACUAGAGUUCGGUAGGGGAGUCUGGAAUUCCUGGUGUAGCGGUGAAAUGCGCAGAUAUCAGGAGGAACACCGGUGGCGAAGGCGGGUCUCUGGGCCGAUACUGACGCUGAGGAGCGAAAGCCAGGGGAGCAAACGGG
rnacentral:rRNA from 1 species